rnacentral:lncRNA from 1 species
UAGCUUGUUGUUUUCUAUUUAAACUCUUGUAUGUUUCAUUUCAAAUCAUUUAACCCUUUUAAUAAAAUCUACUUUUAAAUUUGUUGAAUCCUUUAUUCUUUGGAACAUCGUAAGCUAGGAGAGUGAUCUCCGUAAGCACUGUCUUGUUCACUAGUGGGGUUGCCCUCACAGACUAAGACAAACCAAGCAAGUAUUUGGCCUUCCGCAGCCUUAUACUGAAGAACCUUCGAUCCACUAUCCUUUGAUUCUUCUUUUGGGUCGAAGCUUAUCCAUUUCACCAACCUUCGAGUGCAUUCCUUGGGAGAUUUUCAUCAUUUGGUAUUAGAGCACACUUGAGGGUUCAGUGUUCACUUCUGUCAUUCAUCAUUCUCAUCUUUCCAUCUUCUAGAAAAAAAAGGUACUAUGAUAAGCCAAGUGAUCAUUCCAUCUGAGGUUAAAACCGAGACUGCUCUUCUAUCUUUCGUAAUGGCUCUAGGAGACUGCUCUCUGAAAGCAACCUGUUUUGAUCACUAGUGAGGUUGCCCUCAUGGUCACAUGUUCUAAAUAUUAAGUCGGAUUUGAGGGCAAAUCCUUUUAAAUGGAGGAGGGCAUGAUGUAACCCGGAUCAGCAGCAGAAACAAAGCAUAUGACGGUUUCGCUUAUGGGUAUGUGUGUGGAGGAUUUGGGCUUAUUAUUAUGGUUUUGGCUUGUGUUUUGAUCAGGAAAAAGGUCCAGGAAGUUAUACAUCAAAGUCAUCCCAAUUUUAUGAAGUUAAAAGCCCAAGAAAGUUCAAAAACAAGUGGCUUAUUUGCAGUCCAAGAAAAGUGAUGAAAAUCAGAUAUUGGAUUGCAUGAGAAGCUUCUCUCUCUUGCAUGCAAAGAAGCAUUUAAAGUCUUUUAUGUUUCCUAAGUAUUUCUACCCUUCUCCAUGCUGUUCAUGCAAGUGUUUUUUAUUUUCUCUAAAUUAGAUGUCAUGAACCACCUGAAAGUUUAUGUAAACCGAGUCAACAUAUAUUAACACAGCUGCGUUUUCUCGUGGUGUUAAGUUAUCAUGUUUGUGUUCAUUUUGGCCGUGAACUUGCCUGGUGUUUCAUGAGUGAAGUUGGAAGGUGUAGCCUGACCACCUCCUAGAAACGACCCUAUUUCACACUCACUAGGUGAUUGCCUUGUACACAUGUCAUAAACAUGGAAAACGGCCAUUUCAUACCC